UCCCCAAGGCUGCCCCAGUUGGAACCAGCACUGGAGGCAAGGGGAAAUGUGAGAGGGAGUCGUUGCAGGUUCAGAGCCUCCCUUAACACAAGCAGGAAAGGCUUUGAUGUGGGCAGGUGGUGCCUGGGCAGUAGCAGUAGCCUGGUGCUGGCAGAAGUUUUGCAGACACGUGUUUGCUCUCUGACAGCUACACACCCUCACCGCCCCUGCCCACCCACGCUCUCCUUGUACUGUCUACACAGGCUCUGUGCACGGCCUCUCCUUCUCCUACAUACCUACGUGCUGCACCCUCCCAGCUCUCAGGAACAGCAUCCCUGUCUCCCUCCACAGACGAGCCACCCAUGACAGGAAAAGGGGAGAGAAGAGGGCUGUUGGGCUGCAGCUGUGUCCCUGGAGACAGUCAACUCUGCACUGGUGAAAAGUCAAAGAAAAAUGCAUUUUACAUAAUUUCAGGUCCUAGGUUUACUGGCCAGUCCCUCAGCACAGACUCUGCAACUCCACAAGAGACUCUCCCUUUGCCCGAAGGUUCAGUGCAAAAUGAAAGUGUGUUUCACAUCUCAGUUUCUAGGGAGAGAAGACUGGAGAAGAGAGCGGCUGUGCCUGUCUCCUGCACGUGCACCAGCGUGGAAGGUGAUGACAGCAACCAAGUGUUCAAGGGCUCUUCAUUAGAAAUAACUUUUCUCCCAGUGCCUACAGCUGCUCCCUCCACCGAACCCUGCCCAUAAUACUGUCUCAGCACCAGAGGAAUGGCUGAAUGUUGUGGCAAAACACCCUAUGGAAAAGCUCCAGUAGUGGAAAGAAAAAGAAGGACAAGAGAGGGGGAAGUACUUCAGGCAUUUUGUUCCUGCAAAACUCUGAGCAUCCUCUCCAGGUGUCAGGGUGAUCUUGAAUUCCCGACAUCCUCAGCACUAGAUGUCAUAUCCUGACAACAAGGUGUCAUGGUGCCACUUCAUGGGACUCUUCUUGAUUUCAAGAUACUUUGACUAUCAGGUAAAGUACACAAUAAAACACCUCUAAAAACAUUUGUCUCA
rnacentral:lncRNA from 1 species